rnacentral:rRNA from 1 species
UACGAAGGGGGCUAGCGUUGUUCGGAAUUACUGGGAGUAAAGCGCGCGCAGGCGGCUAUCCAAGUCAGUGGUGAAAGCCCGGAGCUCAACUCCGGAACUGCCAUUGAAACUGUUUAGCUUGAGGACGAGAGAGGUGAGUGGAAUUCCCAGUGUAGAGGUGAAAUUCGUAGAUAUUGGGAAGAACACCGGUGGCGAAGGCGGCUCACUGGCUCGUAUCUGACGCUCAGGCGCGACAGCGUGGGGAGCAAACAGG